ACCGAGACCCUCAGGACGGGGUCCCCGCUCCCUGACUCUCCCCGGGGACCGAGACCUCAGGACUGGUCCCCGCUCCCUGGACUCUCCCGGGGGACCGAGACCCUCAGGACGGGGUCCCCACUCCCUGGACUCUCCCCGGGGGACCGAGACCUCAGGACUGGGUCCCCGCUCCCUGGACUCUCCCCGGGGGACCAUGACCCUCAGGACGGGGUCCCCGCUCCCUGGACUCUCCCCGGGGGACCGAGACCCUCAGGACGGGGUCCCCGCUCCCUGGACUCCCCCGGGGGACCAUGACCCUCAGGACGGGGUCCCCGCUCCCUGGACUCUCCCCGGGGACCGAGACCUCAGGACUGGGUCCCCGCUCCCUGGACUCUCCCCGGGGGACCAUGACCCUCAGGACGGGGUCCCCGCUCCCUGGACUCUCCCUGGGGGACCGAGACCCUCAGGACGGGGUCCCCGCUCCCUGGACUCUCCCCGGGGACCGAGACCCUCAGGACGGGGUCCCCGCUCCCUGGACUCUCCCCGGGGGACCAUGACCCUCAGGACGGGGUCCCCGCUCCCUGGACUCUCCCCGGGGACCGAGACCUCAGACGGGGUCCCCGCUCCCUGGACUCCCCCGGGGCAUCAUGACCCUCAGGACGGGGUCCCCGCUCCCUGGACUCUCCCCGGGGGACCCAGACCGUCAGGACAGGGUCCCCGCUCCCUGCACGAUCCCCGGGGGACCGAGACCUCAGGACGGGGUCCCCGCUCC
rnacentral:lncRNA from 12 species